UACGGAGGAUCCAAGCGUUAUCCGGAAUCAUUGGGUUUAAAGGGUCCGUAGGCGGUUUGGUAAGUCAGUGGUGAAGGCCCAUCGCUCAACGGUGGAACGGCCAUUGAUACUGCCAGACUUGAAUUAUUAGGAAGUAACUAGAAUAUGUAGUGUAGCGGUGAAAUGCUUAGAGAUUACAUGGAAUACCAAUUGCGAAGGCAGGUUACUACUAAUGGAUUGACGCUGAUGGACGAAAGCGUGGGUAGCGAACAGG
rnacentral:rRNA from 1 species